rnacentral:lncRNA from 1 species
GAGAACGAUGCAAGAAAAGUUGAAGAAUAAUAGAAAAAUAUACAGUGUCAACCUUUGAGUGAAGAAAUGUGUUGAAACUUCUGGGUAAAACAAUUUUUUCAGAAAGACUGACUUUCCAACAUUUUCUUGGACAGAUAUGGUUUCAUUGAAGAACGUAUUCUGAGCUACAUCUCAUUUUAGACUAAGAGUAAAAGGAUCAGGACUUAUUUGGAAAUACACAAACUAUUAUAAUAUCAAGAAGUUCAUAUUAAAGAAGCUGGAUAGCCGUUAAAAAGGCAGAAAGUUAACAGACACUUUCUGUAAAUAGAUCAUUGAGUUGGAUGUGAAAACGUUUUGGGGGUAUCAUCUGAAACCCCAGAUACUCCAGGGGCUUCUCCAAAGUGUAAACUUAGAAUAUCCUUGAGUAGCAUUGAAAGCAGAGUAGGCCUGCAGGUGGCUGGUAGAAAGAAACUAGUUACUCCAGGUAAUACUACUCUGGAUAGGAUUUGCUCUGAAUUGCUCCUAGCAUGAGUUUGAGGUGCGUGGGCAAAGUGAGAGUGCACUUAAAAGCCUAUGGCUUCACUGGAUUUGAAUAAGAGAUGAUGAGGCUUAUCCUGCCACCUUGUGGCUCUGGGCCAACAUGCACAAAGCUUGGAGACAGAAGCCAGUAAUGAAGGGAACCAGAGGGCCUAACUGAGGAAGUAAAGUUCAGAACAAUCUCCCUCUCCUCUCCCUGUAGAAAUCAACAUGCCCAAGAUGGUGCAUCACCAUCAGUGUAAGAUGACAACAAAAUUGCUUAAUUAGCUAAAAUGAAUCAGAUGACAUGCUGAGACAAUUUAUGAAUUUUGGUCAAAUCAGAGAUGAAACAACUGAAAUUAAGUUUGUAAAUUGCCUAUACCUUAAAGAAGAAAGCUGAACUUAGAUUACCAGGUGGAAUACACAAUAGCAGAAGACAGAAACAGAAUGAUCCCUCAACAUGAUAAAUUUAAAACAAGGAGAAUUGAUCAGAGUGGGUCUCAAAGAGAAAGAAAUCUGUUCUUUAAAUCAGGAGAUGAAGAAAAAAUAAUGUCUUCAGACAUGGGACCAUGUUUCAUCCCAUGGGAAGGAAAACUGAAUGACAGAGACUGAAGAUUCUCAGUUUCAUCUAAAUGCACUCAGAUGUCCCUAUUCUAAGUUUUAGCAUCCCAAUUUAUUUUGGUUAUCUAUGAGUGCAUAAUUAUGCCAAAACUUAGUGAUUUAGAAAAAACAAAAUCAUUCAUCUCAUAAAUCUGUGCAUUUACUGAACUCAGCUGGGAAAUUCUUUCCUCCACAUGGUGUUGGCACAGGCUGUAGUCAUUUGGAGGCAUGAUUAUACCUGGAACAGUCAAG